rnacentral:rRNA from 1 species
GAUAAACGCUGGCGGCGUGCAUGAGACAUGCAAGUCGAACGAACGAGCUUGCUCGUUAGUGGCUGACGGGUGAGGAACCCGUAGGAACAUGUCCUGAGGUGGGGAAUAACGCCGGGAAACUGGCGCUAAUACCGCAUACGAUCCGAGGCCCAAAGCCGUGAGGCGCCUUGGGAGUGGCCUGCGUACGAUUAGCUUGUUGGUGGGGUAAUGGCCUACCAAGGCUACGAUCGUUAGCUGGUCUGAGAGGACGAUCAGCCACACUGGGACUGAGACACGGCCCAGACUCCUACGGGAGGCAGCAGUGGGGAAUAUUGGACAAUGGGCGAAAGCCUGAUCCAGCAAUGCCGCGUGUGUGAAGAAGGUCUUCGGAUUGUAAAGCACUUUCGGCGGGGACGAUGAUGACGGUACCCGCAGAAGAAGCCCCGGCUAACUUCGUGCCAGCCGCCGCAGUAACAC